rnacentral:rRNA from 1 species
AGUGAACGCUGGCGGUAGGCCUAACACAUGCAAGUCGAACGGCAGCACAGUAAGAGCUUGCUCUUACGGGUGGCGAGUGGCGGACGGGUGAGGAAUACAUCGGAAUCUACUUUUUCGUGGGGGAUAACGUAGGGAAACUUACGCUAAUACCGCAUACGACCUACGGGUGAAAGCAGGGGAUCUUCGGACCUUGCGCGAUUGAAUGAGCCGAUGUCGGAUUAGCUAGUUGGCGGGGUAAAGGCCCACCAAGGCGGCGAUCCGUAGCUGGUCUGAGAGGAUGAAAGGCGAAAGUGGGACUGAGAGAGGGCCCAGAAUCCUACGGGAGGAAGCAGUGGGGAAUAUUGCACAAUGGGCGGAAGCGGGAUGAAGAAACGCCGCGUGCGGGAUGACGGUCUUCGGGGGGAAAAAAGAUUGAGCAGGGGACGAAGAGGGAGGGACGGUAAUGGGUAAAGAAGCACCGGCUAAAUACGUG